rnacentral:rRNA from 1 species
UACGGAGGGGGCUAGCGUUGUUCGGAAUUACUGGGGCGUAAAGCGCACGUAGGCGGCUUUGUAAGUUAGAGGUGAAAGCCCGGGGCUCAACUCCGGAAUUGCCUUUAAGACUGCAUCGCUAGAAUUGUGGAGAGGUAAGUGGAAUUCCGAGUGUAGAGGUGAAAUUCGUAGAUAUUCGGAAGAACACCAGUGGCGAAGGCGACUUACUGGACACAUAUUGACGCUGAGGUGCGAAAGCGUGGG